CUAAUCCUGUUUGCUCCCCACGCUUUCGCAUCUGAGUGUCAGUAUCUGUCCAGGGGGCCGCCUUCGCCACCGGUAUUCCUUCAGAUCUCUACGCAUUUCACCGCUACACCUGAAAUUCUACCCCCCUCUACAGUACUCUAGUCUGCCAGUUUCAAAUGCUAUUCCGAGGUUGAGCCCCGGGCUUUCACAUCUGACUUAACAAACCACCUGCAUGCGCUUUACGCCCAGUAAUUCCGAUUAACGCUCGCACCCUCCGUAUUACCGCGGCUGCUGGCACGGAGUUAGCCGGUGCUUCUUCUGUCGCUAACGUCAAAUAAUGCAGCUAUUAACUACACUACCUUCCUCACGACUGAAAGUGCUUUACAACCCGAAGGCCUUCUUCACACACGCGGCAUGGCUGCAUCAGGCUUGCGCCCAUUGUGCAAUAUUCCCCACUGCUGCCUCCCGUAGGAGUCUGGACCGUGUCUCAGUUCCAGUGUGGCUGAUCAUCCUCUCAGACCAGCUAGGGAUCGUUGCCUUGGUGAGCCCUUACCUCACCAACUAGCUAAUCCCACCUAGGCAUAUCCUGACGCGAGAGGCCCGAAGGUCCCCCUCUUUGGCCCGUAGGCAUCAUGCGGUAUUAGCCAUCGUUUCCAAUGGUUAUCCCCCACAUCAGGGCAAUUUCCUAGGCAUUACUCACCCGUCCGCCGCUCGACGCCGUUAUCGUUCCCCGAAGGUUCAGAUAACUCGUUUCCGCUCGACUUGCAUGUGUUAGGCCUGCCGCCAGCGUUCAAUCUGAGCCAGGAUCAAACUCU
rnacentral:rRNA from 1 species